rnacentral:rRNA from 1 species
GAUGAACGCUAGCUACAGGCUUAACACAUGCAAGUCGAGGGGAAACGACAUCGAAAGCUUGCUUUCGAUGGGCGUCGACCGGCGCACGGGUGAGUAACGCGUAUCCAACCUGCCCACCACUUGGGGAUAACCUUGCGAAAGUAAGACUAAUACCCGAUGAUAUCUCUAGAAGACAUCUGAAAGGGAUUAAAGAUUUAUCGGUGAUGGAUGGGGAUGCGUCUGAUUAGCUUGUUGGCGGGGUAACGGCCCACCAAGGCAACGAUCAGUAGGGGUUCUGAGAGGAAGGUCCCCCACAUUGGAACUGAGACACGGUCCAAACUCCUACGGGAGGCAGCAGUGAGGAAUAUUGGUCAAUGGGCGAGAGCCUGAACCAGCCAAGUAGCGUGCAGGACGACGGCCCUAUGGGUUGUAAACUGCUUUUAUAAGGGAAUAAAGUGAGUCUCGUGAGACUUUUUGCAUGUACCUUAUGAAUAAGGACCGGCUAAUUCCGUG